AUGUGUCUACCAAAAUCUAAGGGUGGCAUGGGAUUUAGAGACCUACAUGCUUUCAACUUUUUCUUGUUGGCAAAGCAGAGUUGGAGACCGAUAACCCAUCCUGUGACAUUAUGUGCACAUGUACUUAGGGCAAAGUACUAUCCAAAUGAGAACUUGUUGAAUGCUGGGCCCAAGAAGGGAUCAUCUUUCACUUGGUAGAGCAUAGUGGCUGAUCUUUAA
rnacentral:rRNA from 1 species